UACGUAGGGCGCAAGCGUUGUCCGGAAUUAUUGGGCGUAAAGAGCUUGUAGGCGGUUUGUCGCGUCUGCUGUGAAAAUCCGGGGCUCAACCCCGGACUUGCAGUGGGUACGGGCAGACUAGAGUGUGGUAGGGGAGACUGGAAUUCCUGGUGUAGCGGUGAAAUGCGUAGAUAUCUGGAGGAACACCGGUGGCGAAGGCGGCGAUUCCUGG
rnacentral:rRNA from 1 species